UCUGAUAUUGUAGAUGAAAAAUUCUUUGAGUACUUGAUAAAAAUUUGAGUUAUAGUUUGGGUACUAAUCUUCAAGCUCUUGCUUCUGAUACUGAUGGGUUUUUAGAGGUAUCAAAAAGGCACUCUCUUUUAUAUCCUUUUCUAGUUAUAUGUUAAGGGUAGUUGGUUUGAGAGUUAAGUUAGGGUUGGUUUGAGAGUUAAGUUAGGGUUUGAAUGCUUGUGCUUUCGAUGACAUUGCCAUUUUUUUGCAAGCUGGCUUUUACAAUCCAUGCUUGAGAACUUUGCAAUAUCCGGUCCAAAAUGUUGCAAAAAUUUGUCACCUCAGUUGCUGUUUUUUCAAGCAAGUUGAAUUUUCAAUGAUAGUGAAUAAGCACUUGCAAAAGAGCAGCAAUGGCGUUGGAUUAGGUGCACAACAUUGUAGAAAAUGUCCAAGUAACAUAUGGAUCGAAACUUUUAGUGGUGUGAUCGUGGAAGACGAAGAAGCAGAUCCUUUGAUUCUGGAUUUGCCUUUUACUUUAGCCCUACCGAUCUAUUUUGAUUGGGCAAUAUGUUUCCUCUAAUGGCGGUGCUGUCGCUGCUGAAGAACAAGCACCAUUUCUUGAUGUGAAAACUACCGAGGACAUGCUCAUUAUACCACAUGGAUCUUUCAACCAUUUUGGAUGCUUUGCGUUGUUACAAGAAUCUGAGAGGUGGUCUGGAAAUCAAGAUUUAAAAAUUGAAGGGAGGGCACAUCCAAUUAUGCUUUUGCCAAGUACUGAAAGUAUUCAUGUCUUCAGGGCUUGAGCUUGCUGUAAUAUUCUUAGAUUGCUUGGAAGUGUCUGCGCCUUGCAUAACCUCCAAGUGGAAGUCGAUCCAAAAACUUUUGGAUCGACAGUGGAAGCCUAAUGUUGCCACUGGUGCCGUUUGCAACUAUAUGAGCGAGGAUCUAAGGCAGCCAGGCAUUGCAGCAGGAUGGCAUGGCUUUAAGCAAUAGUUCCAGUUUCUUCAGUAACAUUUUUCCCAUGAUAAAAUUCUUGGGUUACGAGGUUCAUGUUUAUAUAGAUGUACAUAUAUUAUUGUUUUGAAUUAAAGAAGGUAGCAUGAGAAUAAGGGCAUACAAAUUGAAAGACAAGGAACCCUCAAUAGGGAUGGAAUAGAUGUUUUGAAAAUUUGUGGUGGCAGACAACGGGAAACUAUCCAAUCUCAUCAUUAUUGCGUAUGGUAGCCGUUACUGGGAUUUGUGAA